rnacentral:rRNA from 1 species
AGUGAACGCUGGCGGUAGGCCUAACACAUGCAAGUCGAACGGCAGCACAGUAAGAGCUUGCUCUUACGGGUGGCGAGUGGCGGACGGGUGAGGAAUACAUCGGAAUCUACUUUUUCGUGGGGGAUAACGUAGGGAAACUUACGCUAAUACCGCAUACGACCUACGGGUGAAAGCAGGGGAUCUUCGGACCUUGCGCGAUUGAAUGAGCCGAUGUCGGAUUAGCUAGUUGGCGGGGUAAAGGCCCACCAAGGCGACGAUCCGUAGCUGGUCUGAGAGGAUGAUCAGCCACACUGGAACUGAGACACGGCCCAGACUCCUACGGGAGGCAGCAGUGGGGAAUAUUGGACAAUGGGCGCAAGCCUAAUCCAGCCAUACCGCGUGGGUGAAGAAGGCCUUCGGGUUGUAAAGCCCUUUUGUUGGGAAAGAAAAGCAGCAGGUUAAUACCCCGCUGUUCUGACGGUACCCAAAGAAUAAGCACCGGCUAACUUCGUG